rnacentral:rRNA from 1 species
GACGAACGCUGGCGGCGUGCCUAAUACAUGCAAGUCGAACGCAGUGGGGACGGGUGAUUAACACGUGGGUCACCUCCCAUCAGAGGGGAUAACACUUGGAAACAGGUGCUAAACCUAUACUGAUGGAUGAACCCGCGGUGCAUUAGCUAGUUGGUGAGGUAACGGCUCACCAAGGCAACGAUGCAUAGCCGACCUGCGAGGGGGAGCGGCCACAUGGGGACUGAGAAACGGCCCAGACUCCCACGGGAGGAAGCAGUAGGGAAUCUUCGGCAAUGGACGAAAGUCUGACCGAGCAACGCCGCGUGAGGGAAGAAGGUUUUCGGAUCGUAAAACUCUGUUGUGAGAGAAGCGGUAUCUAACCAGAAAGCCACGGCUAACUACGUGCCAGCAGCCGCGGUAAUUC